rnacentral:rRNA from 1 species
ACGGGAGGCAGCAGUGGGGAAUAUUGGGCAAUGGGCGAAAGCCUGACCCAGCAACGCCGCGUGAAGGAAGAAGGUCUUCGGAUUGUAAACUUCUUUUAUGAGGGACGAAACAAAUGACGGUACCUCAUGAAUAAGCCACGGCUAACUACGUGCCAGCAGCCGCGGUAAUACGUAGGUGGCAAGCGUUAUCCGGAUUUACUGGGUGUAAAGGGCGCGUAGGCGGGAAUGCAAGUCAGAUGUGAAAUCUCUGGGCUCAACCCAGAAACUGCAUUUGAAACUGUAUUUCUUGAGUGCUGGAGAGGUAGAUGGAAUUCCUAGUGUAGCGGUGAAAUGCGUAGAUAUUAGGAGGAACACCAGUGGCGAAGGCGGCCUGCUGGACGACAACUGACGCUGAGGCGCGAAAGCGUGGGGAGCAAACAGGAUUAGAUACCCUGGUA